rnacentral:tRNA from 1 species
GGAGAUUUAGCUCAGCGGCAUAAGCGCCUGCCUUGCAAGCAGGCAGUUGUGAGUUCAAUUCCCAGUACCA